rnacentral:misc_RNA from 1 species
UUUCCGUAGGUGAACCUGCGGAAGGAUCAUUAUUGUAUAACCGAGGUGCGAGGGCUGUCGCUGACCCGAAAGGUCGUGCACGCCCGAGCGCCCCCACACACAUCCAUCUCACCCCUAUGUGCACCACCGCGUGGGUCCCCCUUUGGCUUGUUCGGAGGGGGGCUUACGUUUUCACACAAACUUUGUAUGCAGUGUAGAAUGUAUUUUUUGUUUUUGCGAUCACGCAAUCAAUACAACUUUCAACAACGGAUCUCUUGGCUCUC